rnacentral:rRNA from 1 species
CACCAUCACUCCUACGGGAGGCAGCAGUGGGGAAUAUUGCACAAUGGGGGAAACCCUGAUGCAGCCAUGCCGCGUGUGUGAAGAAGGCCUUCGGGUUGUAAAGCACUUUCAGUAGGGAGGAAGGUAGUGUAGUUAACACCUGCAUUAUUUGACGUUACCUACAGAAGAAGCACCGGCUAACUCCGUGCCAGCAGCCGCGGUAAUACGGAGGGUGCGAGCGUUAAUCGGAAUUACUGGGCGUAAAGCGCAUGCAGGCGGCCUGUUAAGUCAGAUGUGAAAGCCCGGGGCUUAACCUCGGAAUUGCAUUUGAAACUGGCAGGCUAGAGUCUUGUAGAGGGGGUAGAAUUUCAGGUGUAGCGGUGAAAUGCGUAGAGAUCUGAAGGAAUACCAGUGGCGAAGGCGGCCCCCUGGACAAAGACUGACGCUCAGAUGCGAAAGCGUGGGGAGCAAACAGGAUUAGAUACCCUGGUAG